GAUGAACGCUGGCGGCGUGCUUAACACAUGCAAGUCGAACGGAAAGGCUCCUGCUUGCAGGGGUACUCGAGUGGCGAACGGGUGAGUAACACGUGGGUGAUCUGCCCUGCACUUCGGGAUAAGCCUGGGAAACUGGGUCUAAUACCGGAUAGGACCACAUUCUGGAUGGUGUGGUGGAAAGUUUUUCGGUGUGGGAUGAGCUCGCGGCCUAUCAGCUUGUUGGUGGGGUAGUGGCCUACCAAGGCGUCGACGGGUAGCCGGCCUGAGAGGGUGUACGGCCACAUUGGGACUGAGAUACGGCCCAGACUCCUACGGGAGGCAGCAGUGGGGAAUAUUGCACAAUGGGCGCAAGCCUGAUGCAGCGACGCCGCGUGGGGGAUGACGGCCUUCGGGUUGUAAACUGCUUUCGCUAGGGACGAAGCGCAAGUGACGGUACCUGGAGAAGAAGCACCGGCUAACUACGUG
rnacentral:rRNA from 1 species